UCGAGAAUCUUUCGCAAUGGGGGAAACCCUGACGCCGCGACGCCGCGUGGAGGAUGAAGGCCUUCGGGUUGUAAACUCCUGUCAGCAGGGGAGAACAAGCUUUUGGUGAAUAACUGAGAGCUUUGACAGUACCUGCAGAGGAAGCCACGGCUAACUCUGUGCCAGCAGCCGCGGUAAUACAGAGGUGGCAAGCGUUGUUCGGAUUUAUUGGGCGUAAAGGGUCCGUAGGCGGCCUGAAAAGUUGGAUGUGAAAUCCCACAGCUUAACUGUGGAACUGCAUUCAAAACUGUCAGGCUCGAGUGUGAUAGGGGUAAAGGGAAUUCCCGGUGUAAGGGUGAAAUCUGCAGAGAUCGGGAGGAACACCAGUCGCGAAGGCGCUUUACUGGAUCACUACUGACGCUGAGGGACGAAAGCCAGGGGAGCAAACG
rnacentral:rRNA from 1 species